rnacentral:sRNA from 1 species
CAAAGUUUAUAAAUCUAUCUUGUACUCCACUACUUUUUGAUUAGAAGUCUGCUACUUCUACAAAGUGACUGACCCUAAUUCGGUGAAGAUGUCAGCAGCCAAUCCCUGUUUAAUUUGUUUUUACGUU